rnacentral:lncRNA from 1 species
CAGGGAGCUAAGCAAAGUGUUGAGGAGAGUGUGUGAGAGGAGAGAUAACACUACAAAUUUACACCUGACACAUACACACAAACACUCUCUCUCUACUCUUUCUCUCUCUAAACUCAGUCCUCUUUAUCUUCUUUCUUCUUUUUGGGUUUUUCUUUCUGGGUUGAUUCUCUGAUUCAUUAAUUUCUGGGGGGUUUUUUCAUUUUUGGUUCCCCUUAAUUAAUUGAUAUGGAGUUCGAGGAUCAAGAGGAGCACGACGAAGAGAUGGAGAUGGCGGCGAGUUACGACUCGCUCGGAAACUCAGCGGGUGGCGUCCGGGUCAAAAUGUCGAGUUCUGGACCCGAGGGCGUGGCAGCAAUAACGGCGGCGGCGGCGGCGUCUCAGCAGCAGCAGCAGCAGCAACAACAGCAACAGCAGCAGAGGAAGGGCGCCUCGAGGUACAGAGAGUGCCUGAAGAACCACGCGGUCGGGAUUGGAGGCCACGCGCUCGACGGCUGCGGCGAGUUCAUGCCGGCCGGUGCCGAGGGCACGCUCGACGGGCUAAAAUGCGCAGCCUGCAACUGCCACCGCAACUUCCACCGCAAGGAGGGCGACUCGGGCGGGCUCGCGCUCAUGACCCCCGACCCGUACGGGCAGCUGGUGCCGCUCCACGGGCAGCACAACCACCCGCAGUUCUCGCCGUACUACCGGACGCCAGCAGGGUACCUCCACUUGGCGCCGCACCACAGGCCUCUGGCCCUGCCGUCGACUUCGGGAGGGGGCGGGACCCACAGCAGGGGGGAGGAGCAGGAGGACGACGUGUCGAAUCCUAGCGGAGGCGGCGGCGGCGGAGGGGAUUUGGGAAUGGGAGGGGGGUUACAUGGAACGGCGUCUUCCGGGAAGAAGAGGUUCAGGACGAAGUUUACGGCGGAGCAGAAGGAGAGGAUGUUGACUUUGGCGGAGACGCUGGGGUGGAGGAUUCAGAAGCAGGACGAGCCGGCGAUUCAGCAGUUCUGCAACGAGACUGGAGUGAAGCGUCACGUCCUCAAGGUUUGGAUGCAUAACAACAAGCACACUCUGGGUAAGAAACCCUAGCUAGCUGAUCAUGCUUGUUAAGCUAGAAACCAAACAAACCCAGAACAAGGAAGACAAUGAACAUGAAAAACAACCCAAAACCCACAAGUAUAUCAUCAUUCUUGGUCAUCUUCAUCUCAUCAUUUCUCUCUUUCUCUAUCAGUCGACCGAUCUUCUGGAUCUUUUGUACUUAUUAGUUUAAUUAGGACAACACUUCGCUAGCUCUAGCAGUUGUAGUAGGAUUUAUCAGCUAGAGGUAAUUUUCUUCUGGUCAAGGUGGCGAAACUGAUCAGGAACAAAAAUCAGCAUCAUGUGCCUGCAGCUGACUUUGUUGAGAAAUUCUACUGCUUUUCCGGGAUUUUAAUUAGUGUUUUAAUUAGGGUUUCUUUUUAUUUUAAAUCUUUUUUCUUAAAUUUAUUGACUAGUGUAGUGAUCAUCAUCCGUGUUAUUUGAACACUUGAUUUAGAUGAGUGUGAAAUCUCUCUCAUUGUUGUGAUCAAUGUCCCAUUUGAUCGUUUCAUUAAUUAGUGCAUGUAAAAUAUAUUAAUCAUAUAUCUUUGCUUAAUCAUCCUCCUAAUUUAAUUAUAUGGGUUGAUCAAUGUUGAUGAGUAUGCAGUGUUUAGCUGUUGGUUAUGAUCAUCAUAGAGUAUAGACUAUAGAGGGAGGACCAUCUGUUCGUAGGCUUUGUGUGGUCUUAAUAAUAAGACUUGUGCGAUCCAUGCUGCAUUUUCCGUUUUCUAUAUGUACCAUCUCUUUUUUUUUUUUUACAUGUGUUUGUUUGUACGUUUCUGUGUCAUUCAUUUACUUCUCUUCCCUUCAAUCCCAUGCCUUUUUGUUUUCGUCCACGAAUCUCAGACUCUGUUGAUUUUAUGUUGAGAAGCAUUAAUUGUAUGAGAUGCUGUUGUUCAAUGAUCAGUACUUUAUCUCUUUCCUUUUUUCACUGCUUAAUUUAAUUUUUUUUCUCUCUCUCUUUGUCUGGAUCUCAUGCUCUUCUGAAGGGCCUUCAAAUGAUGAACCCAACCCGAGUUGAAAAGGGAUGAUGAUCUUUGGGACCUAGCUUUCAUAUUCUCUGGUCUGUUUCUUUCUGCUGCCAAGUUUUUGUCUUUGCUCUUUCUUGCAUUGCAAACACUGCUUUUACUUUUGCAGUCAUGAGUGCAGAAUAUAUAUAUAUAUAUAUAAAAUAUUAAUUGAUAUCCAUGAAUUUCUUUCUUUUUGAAAAAUUUAGAGUAUUUUAUGAGGUUGGUUACUUUGAUCCAUGUAAUCAUAUGAUGGAGCUUGUCUGGUGUAGAGGGUAGAACCCAGAUGUUUGAUAUCCCUGAUCUGAUGGGGUCACCUUGGGAAGGAAAACAAAGACCUCAAAGUUAUUCAAUUAUUUGAUUUUGUUGUUAAAUAAUAAUAAUAAUUAUUAUUAUUAUUAUACUAUUCAUUUUUCUACUGUUUUGUUUUCUCUUGGGAAAGAAGAUAUAUUAUCAGCUAGAGAAACAGUAGUUUUUGUUUUCAUGGAAACUCAAGUCCAAAAUGUGGGUUCAGUCCAUGUUGGAGAGAAAGUUGAUAGAUCCAAAGCUUGGUCUC